UACGUAGGAUGCAAGCGUUGUCCGGAAUUAUUGGGCGUAAAGAGCGCGUAGGCGGUUUUUCAAGUCAGAUGUGAAAUAUCCGGGCUUAACCCGGAGGGGUCAUUUGAAACUGAGAAACUAGAGUACAGCAGAGGAUAGCGGAAUUCCCGGUGUAGUGGUGAAAUGCGUAGAUAUCGGGAGGAACACCAGUGGCGAAGGCGGCUAUCUGGGCUGAAACUGACGCUGAGGCGCGAAGGCUAGGGGAGCAAACAGG
rnacentral:rRNA from 1 species